GGCCUUGACAUACUAAGAACUUUCCAGAGAUGGAUUGGUGCCUUCGGGAACUUAGAUACAGGUGCUGCAUGGCUGUCGUCAGCUCGUGUCGUGAGAUGUUGGGUUAAGUCCCGCAACGAGCGCAACCCUUUUCCUUAUUUGCCAGCGGGUCAUGCCGGGAACUUUAAGGAUACUGCCAGUGACAAACUGGAGGAAGGCGGGGACGACGUCAAGUCAUCAUGGCCCUUACGGCCAGGGCUACACACGUGCUACAAUGGUCGGUACAAAGGGUUGCUACCUCGCGAGAGGAUGCUAAUCUCAAAAAAGCCGAUCGUAGUCCGGAUCGCAGUCUGCAACUCGACUGCGUGAAGUCGGAAUCGCUAGUAAUCGCGGAUCAGAAUGCCGCGGUGAAUACGUUCCCGGGCCUUGUACACACCGCCCGUCACACCAUGGGAGUUUGUUGCACCAGAAGUAGGUAGUCUAACCGCAAGGAGGACGCUUACCACGGUGUGGCCGAUGACUGGGGUGAAGUCGUAACAAGGUAAGCGUAGAUGA
rnacentral:rRNA from 1 species